rnacentral:rRNA from 1 species
GCACCACAAGAGCGUGGAGUAUGUGGCUUAAUUUGACUCAACGCGGAAAGCUUAUCUGGUCCGGACGCAGUGAGGAUUGACAGACAGUUUCAGGAGUGGUUCUUGGUAAACAAUUGAGAGAGUUGAAGUUCUUUCAUGAUCUUGUGAGAGGUGGUGCAUGGCCGUUCUUAGUUCGUGUAGUGAUAUGUCUGCCUAAUCGCGUCACGAUAACCUAUUGGUCGACAACCCAAUUAUCACAACUGCAGCAUAACUCCCCUUGGGUGGGCGAGGCUCUGUGUAGGAUAGACCUCUGAACAGUACGCAACGAACGCGAUCGUAAUCCCUUGUUGAGUGGCCAUCCUGUAAGCUGCUGGAUUAGGAACCCAGUGGUAUUAUCUCAGCCACAGAUUUUCUGGUUGUAAUGGGCCAGUUUUGAAACUCGGGGAACAUCUGUGAUUUCUUUCUUAACGCAG